CGAAAAGAACCCCUGUGAGGGGAGUGAAAUAGAACCUGAAACCGUAUACGUACAAGCAGUGGAAGCGGUUCUUGAGACCGUGACUGCGUACCUUUUGUAUAAUGGGUCAGCGACUUACAUUUAGUAGCGAGGUUAAGCGAAUAGCGGAGCCGUAGGGAAACCGAGUGUUAACUGCGCGUUUAGUUGCUAGGUGUAGACCCGAAACCCGGUGAUCUAGCCAUGGGCAGGUUGAAGGUUGAGUAACAUCAACUGGAGGACCGAACCGACUAAUGUUGAAAAAUUAGCGGAUGACUUGUGGCUGGGGGUGAAAGGCCAAUCAAACCGGGAGAUAUCUGGUUCUCCUCGAAAGCUAUUUAGGUAGCGCCUCGGACGAACACCUUUGGGGGUAGAGCACUGUUAAGGCUAGGGGGUCAUCCCGACUUACCAACCCUUUGCAAACUCCGAAUACCAAAGAGUGCUAUCCGGGAGACAGACGGCGGGUGCUAACGUCCGUCGUCAAAAGGGAAACAACCCAGACCGUCAGCUAAGGUCCCAAAGUAAUUGCUAAGUGGGAAACGAUGUGGGAAGGCUUAGACAGCUAGGAUGUUGGCUUAGAAGCAGCCAUCAUUUAAAGAAAGCGUAAUAGCUCACUAGUCGAGUCGGCCUGCGCGGAAGAUGUAACGGGGCUAAGCAAUUCACCGAAGCUACGGGUA
rnacentral:ncRNA from 1 species